AGAGUUUGAUCAUGGCUCAGGACGAACGCUGGCGGCGUGCUUAACACAUGCAAAGUCGAGCGGUAAGGCCCCUUCGGGGGUACACGAGCGGCGAACGGGUGAGUAACACGUGAGCAAUCUGCCCUUCACACGGGGAUAACCACCGGAAACGGUGGCUAAUACCCGAUACGACCACUUCAGGCAUCUGAUGGUGGUGGAAAGUUCCGGCGGUGGAGGAUGAGCUCGCGGCCUAUCAGCUUGUUGGUGGGGUAAUGGCCUACCAAGGCAACGACGGGUAGCCGGCCUGAGAGGGCGACCGGCCACACUGGGACUGAGACACGGCCCAGACUCCUACGGGAGGCAGCAGUGGGGAAUAUUGGACAAUGGGCGAAAGCCUGAUCCAGCAACGCCGCGUGAGGGAUGACGGCCUUCGGGUUGUAAACCUCUUUCAGCAGGGACGAAGCGCAAGUGACGGUACCUGCAGAAGAAGCACCGGCCAACUACGUGCCAGCAGCCGCGGUAAUACGUAGGGUGCGAGCGUUGUCCGGAAUUAUUGGGCGUAAAGGGCUCGUAGGCGGUUUGUCGCGUCGGGAGUGAAAACUCAGGGCUUAACCCUGAGCCUGCUUCCGAUACGGGCAGACUAGAGGUAUGCAGGGGAGAACGGAAUUCCUGGUGUAGCGGUGAAAUGCGCAGAUAUCAGGAGGAACACCGGUGGCGAAGGCGGUUCUCUGGGCAUUACCUGACGCUGAGGAGCGAAAGUGUGGGGAGCGAACAGGAUUAGAUACCCUGGUAGUCCACACCGUAAACGUUGGGCGCUAGGUGUGGGACUCAUUCCACGAGUUCCGUGCCGCAGCUAACGCAUUAAGCGCCCCGCCUGGGGAGUACGGCCGCAAGGCUAAAACUCAAAGGAAUUGACGG
rnacentral:rRNA from 1 species